rnacentral:rRNA from 1 species
GGAUAACCUACCCUUAGGACUGGGAUAACCCUGGGAAACUGGGGCUAAUACUGGAUAUUAGGCUAUGCCUGGAAUGGUUUGCCUUUGAAAUGUUUUUUUUCGCCUAAGGAUAGGUCUGCGGCUGAUUAGGUCGUUGGUGGGGUAAUGGCCCACCAAGCCGAUGAUCGGUACGGGUUGUGAGAGCAAGGGCCCGGAGAUGGAACCUGAGACAAGGUUCCAGACCCUACGGGGUGCAGCAGGCGCGAAACCUCCGCAAUGUACGAAAGUGCGACGGGGGGAUCCCAAGUGUUAUGCUUUUUUGUAUGACUUUUCAUUAGUGUAAAAAGCUUUUAGAAUAAGAGCUGGGCAAGACCGGUGCCAGCCGCCGCGGUAACACCGGCAGCUCGAGUGGUAGCUGUUUUUAUUGGGCCUAAAGCGUUCGUAGCCGGUUUGAUAAGUCUUUGGUGAAAGCUUGUAGCUUAACUAUAAGAAUUGCCGGAGAUACUAUUAGACUUGAAGUCGGGAGAGGUUAGAGGUACUACCGGGGUAGGGGUGAAAUCCUAUAAUCCUGGGAGGACCACCUGUGGCGAAGGCGUCUAACUGGAACGAUCUUGACGGUGAGUAACGAAAGCCAGGGGCGCGAACCGGAUUAGAUACCCGGGUAGUCCUGGCCGUAAACGAUGUGGACUUGGUGUUGGAAUGGCUUUGAGUUGUUCCGGUGCCGAAGGGAAGCUGUUAAGUCCACCGCCUGG